rnacentral:rRNA from 1 species
UGAUGGGGAUAACAGUUGGAAACGACUGCUAAUACCGAAUACGCUCAUGAUGAACUUUGUGAGGAAAGGUGGCCUCUGCUUGCAAGCUAUCGCAUAGAGAUGAGUCCGCGUCCCAUUAGCUAGUUGGUGGGGUAACGGCCUACCAAGGCAACGAUGGGUAGCCGAUCUGAGAGGAUGAUCGGCCACACUGGAACUGAAACACGGUCCAG